rnacentral:rRNA from 1 species
AGUGAACGCUGGCGGCGUGCUUAACACAUGCAAGUCGAACGAGAACGGAUUAUAGCUUGCUAUAAUUGUCAGCUAAGUGGCGCACGGGUGAGUAAUGUAUAGGUAAUAUGCCUUUUACUAAGGAAUAACAAAUGGAAACGUUUGCUAAUACCUUAUACUCCUUAUUAACCUACGUUAAUAAGGUAAAGAUUUAUUGGUAAGAGAUUAGCCUGUAUUGUAUCAGUUAGUUGGUGGGGUAAUGGCUUACCAAGACUAUGACACAUAACUGGUUUGAGAGGAUGAUCAGUCACACUGGAACUGAGACACGGUCCAGACUCCUACGGGAGGCAGCAGUGGGGAAUAUUGCACAAUGGACGGAAGUCUGAUGCAGCAACGCCGCGUGGAGGAUGACACAUCUCGGUGCGUAAACUCCUUUUAUAUGAGAAGAUAAUGACGGUAUUAUAUGAAUAAGCACCGGCUAACUCCGUGCCAGCAGCCGCAGUAA